rnacentral:rRNA from 1 species
GCCGGCGAGCGGCGGACGGGUGAGUAAUGCCUGGGAAAUUGCCCAGUCGAGGGGGAUAACAGUUGGAAACGACUGCUAAUACCGCAUACGCCCUACGGGGGAAAGCAGGGGACCUUCGGGCCUUGCGCGAUUGGAUAUGCCCAGGUGGGAUUAGCUAGUUGGUGAGGUAAUGGCUCACCAAGGCGACGAUCCCUAGCUGGUCUGAGAGGAUGAUCAGCCACACUGGAACUGAGACACGGUCCAGACUCCUACGGGAGGCAGCAGUGGGGAAUAUUGCACAAUGGGGGAAACCCUGAUGCAGCCAUGCCGCGUGUGUGAAGAAGGCCUUCGGGUUGUAAAGCACUUUC